rnacentral:rRNA from 2 species
UGGGGAAUAUUGGACAAUGGGCGCAAGCCUGAUCCAGCCAUGCCGCGUGAGUGAUGAAGGCCUUAGGGUUGUAAAGCUCUUUCACUGGGGAAGAUAAUGACGGUACCCAGAGAAGAAGCCCCGGCUAACUUCGUGCCAGCAGCCGCGGUAAUACGAAGGGGGCUAGCGUUGUUCGGAAUCACUGGGCGUAAAGCGCACGUAGGCGGACUUUUAAGUCAGGGGUGAAAUCCCAAGGCUCAACCUUGGAACUGCCUUUGAUACUGGAAGUCUUGAGUUCGGGAGAGGUGAGUGGAACUGCGAGUGUAGAGGUGAAAUUCGUAGAUAUUCGCAAGAACACCAGUGGCGAAGGCGGCUCACUGGCCCGAUACUGACGCUGAGGUGCGAAAGCGUGGGGAGCAAACA